rnacentral:tRNA from 1 species
GGAGAGGUGUCAGAGCGGUUGAAUGAGCCGGUCUCGAAAACCGGUAUGGCCUUCGGGUCAUCGGGAGUUCGAAUCUCCCCCUCUCCG